rnacentral:rRNA from 1 species
GAUGAACGCUGGCGGCGUGCCUAAUACAUGCAAGUCGAGCGAACGGACGAGAAGCUUGCUUCUCUGAUGUUAGCGGCGGACGGGUGAGUAACACGUGGAUAACCUACCUAUAAGACUGGGAUAACUUCGGGAAACCGGAGCUAAUACCGGAUGAUAUUUUGAACCGCAUGGUUCAAAAGUGAAAGACGGUCUUGCUUUCACUUAUAGAUGGAUCCGCGCUGCAUUAGCUAGUUGGUAAGGUAACGGCUUACCAAGGCAACGAUGCAUAGCCGACCUGAGAGGGUGAUCGGCCACACUGGAACUGAGACACGGUCCAGACUCCUACGGGAGGCAGCAGUAGGGAAUCUUCCGCAAAGGGCGAAAGCCUGACGGAGCAACGCCGCGUGAGUGAUGAAGGUCUUCGGAUCGUAAAACUCUGUUAUUAGGGAAGAACAUAUGUGUAAGUAACUGUGCACAUCUUGACGGUACCUAAUCAGAAAGCCACGGCUAACUACGUG